rnacentral:rRNA from 1 species
CCUACGGGUGGCAGCAGUGGGGAAUAUUGGACAAUGGGCGAAAGCCUGAUCCAGCCAUGCCGCGUGUGUGAAGAAGGCCUUCGGGUUGUAAAGCACUUUCAGUGGGGAAGAAAGCCUUGGGGCUAAUACCCUCGAGGAAGGACAUCACCCACAGAAGAAGCACCGGCUAACUCCGUGCCAGCAGCCGCGGUAAUACGGAGGGUGCGAGCGUUAAUCGGAAUUACUGGGCGUAAAGCGCGCGUAGGCGGUCUGAUAAGCCGGUUGUGAAAGCCCCGGGCUCAACCUGGGAACGGCAUCCGGGACUGUCAGGCUAGAGUGCAGGAGAGGAAGGUAGAAUUCCCGGUGUAGCGGUGAAAUGCGUAGAGAUCGGGAGGAAUACCAGUGGCGAAGGCGGCCUUCUGGACUGACACUGACGCUGAGGUGCGAAAGCGUGGGUAGCAAACAGGAUUAGAUACCCUUGUAGUC